CUCCUGAUAGCUCAGUCAGUAGAGCAUGAGACUCUUAAUCUCAGGGUUGUGGGUCUGUGCCCUGCAUUGCAGGGGG